rnacentral:lncRNA from 1 species
GAUAGAAUGAUGGGUAGACAAAUAUCAGCAUGGAGCGGAUGCCUGACAGAGCGGAUGGAGGCAUGGCUGGGUAGGUGGGUGGCAGAACUGAGGGAUGGGGUAGGUUGGAUGGAGAGAUGGGCAUGGAAAUGCCCACGUUCCUCUGUCUUUAGUGUUUGGCUGCGGCCUUGUCCUUAGGACCUGCAGAGCACCUUCCUUGAGAAGCUGUGCCAUCUGCCACCUUGUCACUAUUUUACAUGGAGGGCAUGGAGGCUUAUUUAUGGAACUGAAUGAUGGGUGAGCCACAAGGGCCAGCACUAAGGUUUGCAAAAGGCAUGGAUGAGGGAGGAUUCCAGUUGUGUGUUGUCUUUUCCUUUAGGCAUGUCCCAGUUACACUCAAGAACCCAUUAAAAUUGAAGACUUGGAUUUUGGGGUGGCACUGUUGGUGGGUUCUUUGGAUCCUUUGGGAGAAGAGGCCUGAUUGAGCCACCAGGACCAGAUUGAGGGAACUAACACAGAAUCGUCUGCAUAAUGGGCAGGGCACCGCCUGAAACUGCCCAGGUCUCCCUUUGCUUCCUGAGGAUGGAGAAAUCCCUGUAUUCUUGGCUCUCAAAAACUUUCCUGAUCUGUCAAAUGGGAUUGAAGAUGCAAUUACUUAUUUAUGAACGAAAUUUAAAAAGGCACAUUAAUAAAUUAUGUGAAUCCAUUUUUUUCUAAAAAUAC